AGCGUCACAUGAGGAGGUACGCGUCAGAUAGCGUCACAUGAGGAGGUACGCGUCAGAUAGCGUCACAUGAGGAGGUACGCGUCAGAUAGCGUCACAUGAGGAGGUACGCGUCAGAUAGCGUCACAUGAGGAGGUACGUGUCAGAUAGCGUCACAUGAGGAGGUACGCGUCAGAUAGCAUCACAUGAGGAGGUACACGUCAGAUAGCAUCACAUGAGGUACACGUCAGAUAGCGUCACAUGAGGAGGUACGCGUCAGAUAGCGUCACAUGAGGAGGUACGCGUCAGAUAGCGUCACAUGAGGAGGUACACGUCAGAUAGCAUCACAUGAGGUACGCGUCAGAUAGCGUCACAUGAGGAGGUACGCGUCAGAUAGCGUCACAUGAGGAGGUACGCGUCAGAUAGCGUCACAUGAGGAGGUACGCGUCAGAUAGCGUCACAUGAGGAGGUACGCGUCAGAUAGCGUCACAUGAGGAGGUACGCGUCAGAUAGCGUCACAUGAGGAGGUACACGUCAGAUAGCAUCACAUGAGGAGGUACGCGUCAGAUAGCGUCACAUGAGGAGGUACGCGUCAGAUAGCGUCACAUGAGGAGGUACGCGUCAGAUAGCGUCACAUGAGGAGGUACGCGUCAGAUAGCGUCACAUGAGGAGGUACGCGUCAGAUAGCGUCACAUGAGGAGGUACGCGUCAGAUAGCGUCACAUGAGGAGGUACGCGUCAGAUAGCGUCACAUGAGGAGGUACGCGUCAGAUAGCGCCACAUGAGGAGGUACGCGUCAGAUAGCGCCACAUGAGGAGGUACGCGUCAGAUAGCGCCACAUGAGGAGGUACGCGUCAGAUAGCGUCACAUGAGGAGGUACGCGUCAGAUAGCGUCACAUGAGGAGGUACGCGUCAGAUAGCGUCACAUGAGGAGGUACGUGUCAGAUAGCAUCACAUGAGGUACACGUCAGAUAGCGUCACAUGAGGAGGUACACGUCAGAUAGCGUCACAUGAGGAGGUACACGUCAGAUAGCGUCACAUGAGGAGGUACACGUCAGAUAGCGUCACAUGAGGAGGUACACGUCAGAUAGCGUCACAUGAGGAGGUACACGUCAGAUAGCGUCACAUGAGGAGGUACACGUCAGAUAGCAUCACAUGAGGUACACGUCAGAUAGCGUCACAUGAGGAGGUACACGUCAGAUAGCGCCACAUGAGGAGGUACACGUCAGAUAGCGCCACAUGAGGAGGUACACGUCAGAUAGCGU